AACAGCUUUGAUAUCUAACAUGUGGUGUGAAAGGUAAUAGUGGAUUGUGUGCAUAUGUCUCACAUUUCACAUCAUUUCUUUGAUUUUAUUCUGGACCGGUGGUGUCACAGUUUCCUGUUUUUCUAGGUUUUCUAGAUUGUGUGAGUAUUUAAACAAAGAACUAUUAUAGAAAGGGAAUAAAAAAAGCCCUACCUCUAGCACUACAUGACAGCACCUGGUCCACCUGGACUCUCAGCAGUCUGACUACAACUUAAUCAUGACGUCCAUCUUGUUUGAAUUCAUGCUUGUGUUGUUGUUAGUCUCAGAUGUAAGUCGCUGUGGAUAAAAGCGUCUGCUAAAUGACUGUAAAAUAGAAUAGAAAAUAUUGAUGAUGAUUUUAUUACUUUGUGUGUGUGUGUGAGUACAUUUUUGUUUAACAUGAUCAGUAGGUGCAAAAUCUAUCAAGAGAAUAUUAAACAUGUGAGAUAAAAAGAAGAUAAAGAAAAAUAAAAAUCACACUAGCUGUAACAACCAAAAUUAUUACCAAAUUAAAAAAGAGAAAAAGAAAUUUGAAAAAUGUACAAAAGACCUUGAGAAGGCCAUAAGGGUUAAACAAAUGUACCCUGAGCUGUAUGAUGAGAUGAAGCACCCACCCAGACUGGCAUGUACAGGAAGAGGGCGGGAUGUAUUUUGGGCCCCAACAACAACCAGCGGAGACCCAACCAAAUCACUGAGAGGUACGAUGAUGGAAACUUCUCUUCACUGUCUGCUCUGUAAGUAGAAAACAUGCAUGUUUGUUUUAUUUACCCAGAAAUACUUUACUCAUGCUGAUCUGGACCAAUUAAAACGGGUCAGAUGAGAAACACAUGAUGAUUUGUUAGUUAAACAGGAACUUUAGAAAGAUUUCCAGGCUAGUAUAGAAAAAACCACAUAACUGCACAGAAUCACAGUUUAAUGUAAACUAGUGAAAGAAACUUGUAAAGCAUGAAAAAUAGAAACAGUUUUAUUUGUUAAUAGCAGAGACAGAAUCACAUCUGAACACAAACUGCUGAAUAUUAAUGACAAUACUUUUUUAAACACAUAUGCAUUGUUAUAAUGUUUAAUCUAUAAGGAAUAAACAUGGUAAUAUUAAACAACAAACUUCUAGUUCUGGCUAAGUGUAUUUUCAGUCACAGUUAAUGAAAAUUGGUGGAAGUAACAUCGACUGAACAUCUUUUCCUGUUUGGAUGGACCAGAGUGGCUAUGGGUGGACCAUGUAAUUACACACAUUAACAUCAUUAUAACUUAUAUUUACUUACAAGUAAAGUACAAGUUGAUUAAAAACAUCAGAGAUAAGGAUGAAAAGGAUGCUGAGGUUGGUAAAGACCAAUAACUCCAUUCAUUCAUAAAAAGUUACAGGAACUUAAAAUAGCAAAGCCAACUCAACUAAAGUAGAAUCUGAAAUUUAACUAAGUUAGGGCAGAUAUUAUGUCUACUCGUGUCUUUGAACAACACAUGUUCAUCCAUCCAUUUUCUAUACCGGUUUCUAAUUCAGGGUCACAGGGAAGCUGGAGUCUAUCCCACCAAUAAGCAGGUAGACCUGGACAAGGUCCAUCACAGGUCCAUCACAGAGAGACAAACAUCUACUCACACUCUCUCCUAGGGAUCAUUUAGUCACCAGAUAACCUGAUAUUCAUGUCUUUGGAUGAGUCUAAAAUUACCUGCAGUUACUGGACCGAGUUCUCCAAUAAUAAUCUAAUAAAUAAAAUGUUUUAUUGUUUUGAAAUAGAGAUAACAUUUAAAGAACAUUGUAUUUAUCUGAGCUAUGAAUUUCUGUGUUUGUCAGGUUUCUUAUAAGUUAUUUUGUUUAUCAAACUCAAACCAACUUGAGUCUCAUUUCUCUUCAGCUCUGACGUCUCUGCUGAGCUGCAUCAUUAAUCAUGCCCUCACAGCUCGUCUGACCAUCAGUCCCAGCAGAUCUCAGCUGUUUGAAGAAGACUUUGUGUCUCUGAUCUGUGAGGACGACAGCUCUGCUGAAUGGACGGUGAGGAGAAACACGACCAAGAAGACCAGGACUCAGUGUGGAUCUGGGUGGGGAAAACCUGCUGGUUCUUCCUGUAACAUCAAUGUUGUUUUCACAAGAGACUCUGGAGUUUACUGGUGUGAGUCCAGAGAGGGAGCAACCAGUAACAGCAUCACCCUCACUGUCACUGGUGGAUCAGUGAUCCUGCAGAGUCCUGUCCUCCCUGUGAUGGAGGGAGAUGACCUCACUCUGAGCUGUCAAUCAAAGCCUCCCUCCAACCUCCCAGCUGCUUUCUAUAAAGAUGGCUCCCUCGUCAGGAUUGAGUCUACAGGUCACAUGACCCUCCACCAUGUUACCAGGUCUGAUGAAGGUCUCUACAGGUGUAGCAUCAGCAGUCAUGGAGAGUCUCCACCCAGCUGGAUCUCUGUCACAGAGAAACCCACCACCACACCUCCUCCUACAUCCAUCCCUCCCCCUACAUCCACCCCUCCUACACCCGGUCCUCUACUCUCUGUGCUGUUGCCUGUUCUUUGUCUCCUUGCUGUGGUCCUACUGGUGUUACUGGUUCUACUGGGGAGACGACACAUUGUCAGAAAAUCUAAAGCUGAUGAUGAAGAUGAAGAGGAAGGCAUCACGUACAGCGACAUCCAUAUAUCACAUGGUGGACAGCAGGACAUCAGCAGACACAGAGACACUGAACCAGCCAUCAUCUACUCAGCAGUGAUGACACCAGACGUCAGUUAUGGACAAAUAAUCAUCCAGAACCAGCAAAAGAAGAGAAAGAAAAGAGAGUCGCUGCAGUCUGGUCCAGCUGCUUUCAGGAUAGAGGCAGGGUAUGGUUAACGAGUCCUGCUCGGUCUACGGACUGUGGUUGAAAGACACAAGGAGAGUCUCUCUCUCUCUGCAGACAGCUUCAGAGUUACUCCCGUAACUUCACCCAACAGUGGAAAACACACACCGGACUCAACGUGUGCCUGGAGGAGCGGUGAGCUUCCAGCGGAGCCAGACGUCAUCUACUCCUCACUGAGGUAGUCCACCAGUCCAACCACUGAUGUCCUCUGCUGGAUCAAACUGGUUCAGACCAGUUUUUAAACAUCUUUAUUGUCUUCUCUAAAUUAUUCCAUUAAUAAUAAGUUUCCUAUUAUUCAGUGUUCAGCUCAGAAAUACCAGCUCAGUGUCAUGAAUGUAAAUUUCUGGUAAAUUCUUCAGAGAAUCAGAACUUUGAUGUAAUUUAGGUUUUAUCUUUGAUGUGUGGACUCUGCUCUGGUAAACAUUUUAAGACUCUGGUUUCUUGGGUCUCACGUGUUUCACCUGUGAAGAUCUUUGGGUUUUAACAAAGCAAAGACUUUAACUUGUCCCAGUUUGGCUGUGGCUAACCUACAUAAACCUCUUCUCAGAGCGGUGAACGGAGAACAUGAAGCCACAACCGCAGGUUAAAACAGCUGGAACAUUGUUCAGUCAGCAAUAUGACAGAAUAUAUGAAAAAAAACCUCUUUAGUUCAUGUUUGUUAAGAUUUUUAAUUGCUUUAUUAAUGUUUUUAACCUCCCAUAGUCUGGUAUCAUAACGCUUGAUGAUGUACAGUAAAUAUAGAUGCUUACACUGCCCCCUAAUGGUGAUAGAUAGAUAGAUAGAUAGAGAGAUAGAUAGAUAGAUAGAUAGAUAGAUAGAUAGAUAGAUAGAUAGAUAGAUAGAUAGACAGACAGACAGACAGACAGACAGACAGUUUCCAGACUGCAGCCUCUCCUCUGACAGCUGAUGAUAUUCAGCUCUUCACUCCCUCUACUGGACACUAGAGGAACUACAGCAGAUAAAACUCCAUUUAACC